rnacentral:rRNA from 1 species
CAGUCGCCGCGGUAAUACGGGGGGGGCAAGUGUUAUUCGGAAUGACUGGGCGUAAAGGGCACGUAGGCGGUGAAAAGGGUGGAAAGUGAAAGUCGCCAAAACACUGGCGGGGUGCUUUCUUGACCAUUUCACUUGAGUGAGAUAGGGGAGAGUGGAAUUUCGUGUGGAGGGAUCAAAUCCUAAGAUAUACGAAGGAACGCCAACCGCGAAGGCAGCUCUCUGGGUCCCCACUGACGCUGGGGUGCGAAAGCAUGGGGAGCAAACAGGAUCAGAUACCCCGGUAGUCCCUGUCUCUUAUACC